rnacentral:rRNA from 1 species
GACAGAGGGUGCAAACGUUGUUCGGAAUUACUGGGCGUAAAGCGAGUGUAGGCGGUUUGGAAAGUCGGAUGUGAAAGCCCCGGGCUCAACCCGGGAAGUGCACUCGAUACUGCCACACUAGAGUAUCGGAGAGGUUGGUGGAAUUCUCGGUGUAGAGGUGAAAUUCGUAGAUAUCGAGAGGAACACCGGUGGCGAAGGCGGCCAACUGGACGAAUACUGACGCUGAGACUCGAAAGCGUGGGGAGCAAACAGG